UCUCUCUCUCUUAUCUAUCAUGGCUGGAGGUAGUGCGUCUGUGUUUUCACAAGCAGCCCGUCCACGAGGAGCUCCUCACUCAAUGUCAGCUGGGAUUGACUGCAGCGCCAUGUGACAUGUGACCCUGUUCAGGAUAAGUGGUCGCCGAUGAAUGAACAAAUGAACUUCAAGUCCUCCUCCUGCUGUUCUCUUGUGACAAGAGUGCUGUUUUGUGUGUCUAUUUUAGAACCUGGCCCGGAUCAAACCUUCAAGCAGAACAUCUCACUUGAAUCAUGCCCGUUUUGUGCUGUUGAUGGAGAUCUGUUGAGAGCUUCACACGUCGGGGGCUAACAAGAACGGCUGCCUUCUAUUAAUUCCUCCCCCUCCCUGCUCUCCGCCAGCCUAUGGCCUGCGACUCUGUCUUUAGUAGCAUGUGCUCGCCACUGUCACCAGAUUAGCACGUCGGUUCAAAGCCCGGCUCACAAAGACAGUGUGUACAGAACACAGCCUGUGCUAAUACUGCUUCCCUCUGUUCUAACCUGCAAGCCUCCAACUCUCCAGUAAUUCCCCAGCCCUCCAUAAAAGCAGACCUGGGUCAGAUAAAACAACAAGUGCAUCAGUCAGCAAGACUGCGGUGUAGGGGCCACUUGGGGCCCUUUGUCUGCAUCGAUUCAGUUGUAACAAGGAGCAGUCUAGACAGCCUGUGGGGAAAAAAACAGAUUUGGACACUGUUGUUUUGGACAUUUCCCAAGCCCUUGCACCUCAGGGUAAUGAGCAGAAUAAGGUCACCGAUGAGUCUUCACUUCGGAGCAACUCUUCCUCCUUCGCGUCAAGACGAACCGAUACGUGAUGGUUCGGUCGUCACCGUCAGGAUUCUUAU